UGCAUCUCUUGAGAGCGGCGGACGGGUGAGUAAUGCCUAGGAAUCUGCCUGGUAGUGGGGGAUAACGCUCGGAAACGGACGCUAAUACCGCAUACGUCCUACGGGAGAAAGCAGGGGACCUUCGGGCCUUGCGCUAUCAGAUGAGCCUAGGUCGGAUUAGCUAGUUGGUGAGGUAAUGGCUCACCAAGGCGACGAUCCGUAACUGGUCUGAGAGGAUGAUCAGUCACACUGGAACUGAGACACGGUCCAGACUCCUACGGGAGGCAGCAGUGGGGAAUAUUGGACAAUGGGCGAAAGCCUGAUCCAGCCAUGCCGCGUGUGUGAAGAAGGUCUUCGGAUUGUAAAGCACUUUAAGUUGGGAGGAAGGGCCAUUACCUAAUACGUGAUGGUUUUGACGUUACCGACAGAAUAAGCACCGGCUAACUCUGUGCCAGCAGCCGCGGUAAUACAGAGGGUGCAAGCGUUAAUCGGAAUUACUGGGCGUAAAGCGCGCGUAGGUGGUUCGUUAAGUUGGAUGUGAAAGCCCCGGGCUCAACCUGGGAACUGCAUUCAAAACUGUCGAGCUAGAGUAUGGUAGAGGGUGGUGGAAUUUCCUGUGUAGCGGUGAAAUGCGUAGAUAUA
rnacentral:rRNA from 1 species